UGUGGAUGAGAGGCACGUGCCCCACCCCUUCCUUAAAAAGUGCUCCGGUCAGUUCACAGGCUGCAGCUGUUCCAGGCUCAGAAUCAAGGUCACAAGAUAGGGGGAGAAGGGGGUUAAGUGUUCAUGGCUUCCCCACCUCGCCAGGGACUCCCAAGUCUUCCAGGACGGGACCAACCCCUCCCCCAACCUCAGAAACCCCGAUGCGGUAUAUGACGGCCCCCCACCCCUUGCUGCUUCUUAGGACCCCUGCAAAGUUCUCGAACCCUGUCUCUGUUUCCUGGAACCCAGGAAGCCACCAUCCUGCCUGAGGUCACUUUUGGCCUAGUCAAGCAAUGCCACGUGGACUCCACCAAUCAGAAUCCACUCUAUAUGGAAAGUCCCUUGAGCAAGACCCCCUCCCUAGCUCUGUGGUUUUUCCCUAUAUAAACCCUGUAAAGUUGCUAUUCGGGGCUUUUCACCCCUCCUGCGUGAGGACUCUGUGUUGAGCCCCCGUGCACUGGUACUUCAAUAAACACUUCUUGCUGCAUUGCAUCGAGAAGCGUCAGUGUCAGUCUUUGGGGUUUCGCUCGAUUCCGGAGACUUGGAGUCCCUCCAUGAGGAGGGGUCCCAACAUUUGGGGGCUUGUCUGGGAUCUGAGCAGACCCCAGACUCACAUUCACGGUCUCGGAGGUUGCAGGCCUUACACCUCCUUCAAUCUGAAUUGUGGCCACAGAUAAAGGAGGCCUGUUCUCCAGCCAAGGAACCAGCACCUCACCGGUACCAGGUGGGGGACUCUGUUUACGUGAGACGCCACCGUUCUACCAGUUUGGAACCGUGGUGGAAGGGACCCUUCAUUGUGUUGCUGACAACACCCACAGCCAUAAAGGUUGAUGGAAUCGCAGCUUGGAUUCAUGCGUCGCACGUCAAGCCAGCUCCACCAGAGACCACAACAUGGAAACUGGAAAAGACUGGUAACCCCCUUAAGCUGCACUUAUGCCUCCUGCCUGAUAAUGAUGGGACUAUUACCCCCAAUUAGAGCUAGCCCCCAUAACCCUCAGAAGUUAACCUGACAAGUUAUCUCCCAAACAGGGGAUAUAAUUUGGAGUACUACAAAAACCGCCCCUCCUUGGACCUGGUGGCCACAUUUAUCCCCAAAUAUUUGUUCAUUACUAGCAGGAUUAGACUCCUGGGACACCCCUUACCAAAACCUGAGGAGGACCAUCACAUGGAAAGACGGGCCAUAAUGCGAGGGUACUUCACCCCACAGGGCAUACAGGUAUCUGACCAGCCCGGUUGUAGCAAUGUACAGGCCCUACAAAAACUCAGAGAACUCCCUUUCUAUGCAUGCCCCCAAGAGGCUAAAAGAAAAAAUUGUGGGGGCAAAGAACAUUACUAUUGCAAAGAAUGGGGAUGUGAGACCACUGGGGAUGCUUAUUGGAAUCCCUCUUCUAGUUGGGAUCUUAUUAUAAUAAAAAGGGGCCCUUAUACACAUGAAUUUGGAAGAGGGCCAAUCCCCCUUAAUAUCACAUUCACAAAUACAGGGAAAGAUUCCCGGACUUGGCUAAAAGGAAAUACGUGGGGCCUCAGAUUCUAUAUGAGUGGACCAGAUAAAGGGUUAUUCUUCACUAUUAGACUAAUAAUUAGAAGUCCAGACCCAACCCUAGUGGGACCCAACUCCCUACUACAGAAACCCCCUGUCGCAGCUCCCAAACCUCCACCCCAGCUCCACCCCACUACCUUCCCCACGAACCCUAGACCUACCAACCCCCCCCCCCCGACCGGACUAACACCCCUAGGCCUCAACCGGUGCCCCUACUCGCCAUGAUUCAGAAGGCUUUUGCUCUCUUAAAUGCUACUCGGCCGGAAAUGACCACCCACUGUUGGCUUUGCUAUGACGUGGCUCCCCCUUACUAUGAGGCUAUUGCCUGGGCCCUUCCUUACGCGAACUUCACUGUUACUACUGAGAUAGGUCAAUAUCAACUCCCCCCUAGACUAACAUUAGCUGCAGUAUCAGGGAAAGGACUCUGUAUAGGCACAGUGCCACCUUCUCAGGCUCAUCUCUGUAAUUCUACUCAUGUUCCUGAAUCUUAUAUAGGGUACCUAAAGCCCCCUCAGGGAGCAUGGUGGGCCUGCGGUACCGGCUUGACCUCUAUACUCUAUCCCUUGCUGUCCUAAGCCAGGCCCAGGACUAUUGUAUCCUAGUACAGCUCCUCCCUAGACUCAUUUAUCACCCAGACUUCGACUUCCUAGAUGUCAUACAGGGGCAGACUAAGUUUCGGAGAGAACCACUUUCCCUCACCCUAGCAGUCUUACUGGGUCUCAGGACCGCCACCGGAAUUGGAACAGGUAUUACUGCCCUAGCUACCCAAGAUUCAAAAUUGGCAGACUUACAAGGUAUUAUAGCUCAGGAUAUACAGGUCCUACAAGAUUCUAUCUCCAAAUUAGAAGAGUCACUAAUUUCCUUAUCCGAGGUGGUCUUACAGAAUAGAAGAGGUCUAGAUUUACUGUUCCUUAAGGAAGGGGGACUCUGUGUGGCCUUAAAGGAAGAAUGUUGCUUCUAUGUAGACCACUCGGGUGUUAUCAAAGACUCACUGAGAAAACUCAGAGAGAGACUAGAUGCCAGAAAUUGGGAAAGAAAACAAAGUCAGGGAUGGUUUGAAUCAUGGUUUAAUAGGUCCCCCUGGUUGACUACUCUGAUAUCCACCCUAUUAGGACCACUCCUCCUCCUCCUCCUCCUCCUCCUAACGUUUGGGCCCUGCAUUUUAAACCGUCUGGUAACGUUCAUCAGGGAGAGAAUUAACACAGUCCAAGUACUGGUUCUCCGUCAGCGAUAUCAGCUAGUAGGGGAAUCAGAAAUCUAAAAUUCCAUGAUUGGAAUUAUGCCCAAGAAAAAGGGGGGAAUGUGAGGUUAAAAAAAAAAAGGACCAUUACCAUGCUAACCUGCUUUCUCAGCUUUUGUAACGUUGCUUGCUUGUCUCAAAUUGUCUGGUUAGCCCCUGCCCCGAGAACCUAACCGACCUGUUGUUGUUCUUGAACCUUGCUCCAUUGCCUAGUUCUCGAACCUGUCUCUGUUUCCUGGAACCCAGGAAGCCACCAUCCUGCCUGAGGUCACUUUUGGCCUAGUCAAGCAAUGCCACGUGGACUCCACCAAUCAGAAUCCACUCUAUAUGGAAAGUCCCUUGAGCAAGACCCCCUCCCUAGCUCUGUGGUUUUUCCCUAUAUAAACCCUGUAAAGUUGCUAUUCGGAGCUUUUCACCCCUCCUGCGUGAGGACUCUGUGUUGAGCCCCCGUGCACCGGUACCUCAAUAAACACUUCUUGCUGCAUUGCAUCGAGAAGCGUCAGUGUCA